AUACGUAGGUGGCGAGCGUUGUCCGGAUUUACUGGGCGUAAAGAGUGCGUAGGCGGAUGUUUAAGUGAGAUGUGAAAUACCCGAGCUCAACUUGGGUGCAGCAUUUCAAACUGGGCAUCUAGAGUGCAGGAGAGGAAAGCGGAAUUCCUAGUGUAGCGGUGAAAUGCGUAGAGAUUAGGAAGAACACCAGUGGCGAAGGCGGCUUUCUGGACUGAAACUGACGCUGAGGCACGAAAGCGUGGGGAGCAAACAGGAUUAGAUACCCUGGUAGUCCACGCCGUAAACGAUGGGUACUAGGUGUCGGGGGUCCAACCUCGGUGCCGCAGUAAACACAUUAAGUACCCCGCCUGGGGAGUACGGUCGCAAGAUUAAAACUCAAAGGAAUUGACGGGG
rnacentral:rRNA from 1 species